GACCCAACAGUGUGGCCACAGGUCCCACCAAGCAUAACUUAGCGUUGAAUGCCUCUUGCUGCUUCUCACUUCUCCUGUGCAAACAUCGUUCCACAUGUGUCUCAUAAAUGCAACAACCUGAAACAAUGGCGCAUUCAAUAACAUCAGUGAAGGAGUGUUCUUUCCACUUGAAAUCAAAAAGGUAAUGGGAGAGGUGGAAGUAUUGCCCUGUGGUGGAACCCUUGCCUGAAAUGUAGGAGAAAGCCAUGGCUCUGUACCCAGCAGUGGGAAAAACUCACACUGAAGGCAAGGCAUGGGGCCAGAAAAGCAGCAAUCUUCAAGUGAAAAUAAAGAACUGAGAAUGUUAUAAAACAUGCGUCCACCUUCCUUCCCCCUUUAAGCUGAAAAUGGGGUGGAUUACGCUGUGAUCCUCCCCAGAUGCACUCACACAGGGAUCCAGGAAAGCCAAGAAAAAUUUCCCUACCUAGACUGCUGUUCUCAGUUACGGGACUUGAAAACUACAAAAAGGGAUUGAAUAGCACAAACCCUCAAAAUGUUGUGCAAACACUGCUUCUUGGAAAGGAAAUUUGACUUUCAUACAUGUGGAUCAAUUACAAGGACAUUCAGACCAUGGAUAUUCAUCAACACCUACAGGAUAAAGUUCUGUAUGCAACAACGCCCUGAAUAAAA